UACGCAGGGGGCUAGCGUUGCUCGGAAUCACUGGGCGUAAAGGGUGCGUAGGCGGGUCUUUAAGUCAGGGGGGAAAUCCUGGAGCUCAACUCCAGAACUGCCUUUGAUACUGAGGAUCUUGAGUUCGGGAGAGGUGAGUGGAACUGCGAGUGUAGAGGUGAAAUUCGUAGAUAUUCGCAAGAACACCAGUGGCGAAGGCGGCUCACUGGCCUGAUACUGACGCUGAGGCACGAAAGCGUGGGGAGCAAACAGG
rnacentral:rRNA from 1 species